rnacentral:rRNA from 1 species
AUUGAACGCUGGCGGCAUGCCUUACACAUGCAAGUCGAACGGCAGCAUGGAGAGCUUGCUCUCUGAUGGCGAGUGGCGAACGGGUGAGUAAUGCAUCGGAACGUACCGUGUAAUGGGGGAUAACGUAGCGAAAGUUACGCUAAUACCGCAUACGACCUGAGGGUGAAAGCAGGGGAUCGCAAGACCUUGCGUUAUACGAGCGGCCGAUGUCAGAUUAGCUAGUUGAUGAGGUAAAGGCUCACCAAGGCGAUGAUCUGUAGCGGGUCUGAGAGGAUGAUCCGCCAAACUGGGACUGAGACACGGCCCAGACUCCUACGGGAGGCAGCAGUGGGGAAUUUUGGACAAUGGGGGCAACCCUGAUCCAGCCAUGCCGCGUGAGUGAAGAAGGCCUUCGGGUUGUAAAGCUCUUUCGGCCGGGAAGAAAUCGCACAGGCUAAUACUCUGUGUGGAUGACGGUACCGGCAUAAGAAGCACCGGCUAACUACGUGCCAGCAGCCGCAGUAA